ensembl:lncRNA novel transcript, antisense to OR13G1, OR6F1 and OR14A2
GAGGCCGCGCGGGAGGGCGCGCUGGGCGGACGCUGGGGCCGCGGAGCCCAACCGCCCUUGUCCUGGACGCCCCUUGGCGGUCCGCACUGGCGGGUGCCCUCUCCCGAGGGGAACUGAGGCGGGGCGCCUGCCACCAUUCGUGAUUUUCCGUGACUCACCCUCUCAACAGUGUCCCGUCAGCCCCCGCUUUCUGGAAUUAAGAUGAUUUUCCAUGGGCAUUAUAGUCAGAGGAGGUUUUCUGUGAGACAUCUGGGAAAGGUGACUCAAUGAUCACUCAUAUUGUUCUAUGAUGUUAUACAUUUAACCGGAAUACUGGUGAACAGCUUUUAUAUCUUGGAAUUUUUUCCCAUUUUUGAAUCAGAAAUUUAGGACCAAGAAUCUUCUGUCACAGAACCUAUUACUUUGAGGAGUGAACUUAUAUUAACGGUGCUAAACCGUACAUGAACGACUUGGUAGAUGAAAACUUUGGAAAAUAGGAACAUUUCAUGUCAUCACAUGUAUCCUCCAGCAUUGGGGAAAAUUCAACAGUUGCCUUAAGGCGGGAGUUUAAUUGAGGACAUUUACUAAAAAGUUACUUAUUCUGUUUGAAAUUCUCUUCUGAUAAACAUCUUCCCGGGAUAACGAACAUCUCCAGGAUGUGAGAGCCGAGCGCGUGUCCGCGGAGUGCUUGAGCAACGCAGAAUGGCUUCGGUGCUGCGUUCCUUAGACCCCGUGCGGACCCUGCUGAGCCCUCAGCAUCUAUUGUGAAUAAUUGGUCUACUUUGAAGCUCAGAAGAGUCAUUGUGAAUAAUAUGGACAGAGUAAAAGAGUUAUGACAUUAGCUGUUAGUGACAUUAGCUCGAAGCCCACAAUAGUCAUAGAAAGGGGGAGACUUCACAACACCAUCUCCCUGGUAUCCACUGGACUUUGAUGGGUGGCAUCCACUAGCGGAAUUCAGAAAAAUGAAGGUGUGAAAUCGGUUUUUAUAAAGAAGAGAACCAUGCUAUGGAGAAGGAUUACUGUAUCGCCUCUUCAGAAGCCUUGUAUGAUGCCAUCCUGGGAUACAGCUGAGGUAUAGAUGAAAGGAUUCAGCAUCGGAGCCACCAUUGAAUACAUGAUGGUUGACAGAGUGUCGCUCUCAGGCAUAUGGGGGGAUGAAGGGCUGAAAUAGACGGCGAUGGCUGUGCCGUAAAACAACACCACCACUGACAGGUGGCAGCUGCAGGUGGAAACAGCUCUCUGCUUGCCCUGAGUAGAGGUGAUCUUCAGAACAGUGGAGAAGAUAAGUCCAUAAGAUACGAGGAUACAGACAAGGGGCGUGAGAGCCAAUAGACCUCCUACUGCAAAAAUGAUCAUUACAUUGAAGGAGACGUCAGAGCAAGAGAGCUGCAGGAGAGGAUUGAGAUCACAGAAGAAAUGAUGGAUGAUAUUGGAGGCACAGAAGGACAGCUGUGCUAUUAGGACAGUAUGCAGGAGGGCGUGGAGGUAAGUAACAAGCCACAGUCCAGCCACUAGCUGGACACAAAGGCACAGGUUCAUUCUGGCGGUGUAAUGUAAGGGGUGGCAAAUCGCCACAUAUCUAUCAUACGCCAUCACACACAGAAGGAGGCUGUCCAUAUUCACAAAAGAAACGAAGAAGAAGAGCUGGGUGAGGCAGCCUGCAAAAGAGAUAGUCUUGGUGCCAGUCAAGAUAUUCACUACCAUUUGGGGGACUGUAGUCGACGUAAAGCAGAUGUCAACAAAGGCCAAGUUACUAAGGAAGAAGUACAUAGGGGAAUGGAGGUGAGAGUCAAAGCCAAUCGUCGCAAUGAUGAGCAUGUUCCCCAAGGUGGUGGCUAAAUACAUACAGAGAAAGAGCACAGACAGGAGGUGCUGCUGCUCUGCUGAGCUAGGAAGUCCCAGAAGGACGAAUUCCCUGACAACUGUUAGAUUUCUUUUUUCCAUAUUCCCAACAAAUCUAGAAAAAUAAGUUAUUAAAUUGUAAAAGCCA